rnacentral:rRNA from 1 species
GAUCUUGCGACAAUGGGCGAAAGCCUGACGCAGCAACGCCGCGUGCGGGAGGACGGCCUUCGGGUUGUAAACCGCUUUUCGGGGGGAAGAGGAAGGACGGUACCCCCGGAAGAAGUCUCGGCUAACUUCGUGCCAGCAGCCGCGGUAAUACGAAGGGUGCAAGCGUUAAUCGGAAUUACUGGGCGUAAAGCGCGCGUAGGUGGUUCAGUAAGAUGGAAGUGAAAGCCCCGGGCUCAACCUGGGAACUGCUUUCAAAACUGGCAAGCUAGAGUAUGGCAGAGGGUGGUGGAAUUUCCUGUGUAGCGGUGAAAUGCGUAGAUAUAGGAAGGAACAUCAGUGGCGAAGGCGACUACCUGGACUGAUACUGACACUGAGGUGCGAAAGCGUGGGGAGCAAACAGG